rnacentral:rRNA from 1 species
ACGCUCGACACCUACGGGAUGCAGCAGUGGGGAAUAUUGCACAAUGGGGGAAACCCUGAUGCAGCGACGCCGCGUGAGUGAAGAAGUAUUUCGGUAUGUAAAGCUCUAUCAGCAGGGAAGAAAAUGACGGUACCUGAGUAAGAAGCCCCGGCUAACUACGUGCUAGCAGCCGCGGUAAUCUGAGCGGGCUGGCAAGGC